rnacentral:rRNA from 1 species
UACGGAGGGUGCGAGCGUUGUCCGGAAUUACUGGGCGUAAAGCGCACGUAGGCGGCUUUGUAAGUUAGAGGUGAAAGCCCGGGGCUCAACUCCGGAAUUGCCUUUAAGACUGCAUCGCUAGAAUUGUGGAGAGGUAAGUGGAAUUCCGAGUGUAGAGGUGAAAUUCGUAGAUAUUCGGAAGAACACCAGUGGCGAAGGCGACUUACUGGACACAUAUUGACGCUGAGGUGCGAAAGCGUGGGGAGCAAACAGG